UACGUAGGGGGCAAGCGUUGUCCGGAAUCAUUGGGCGUAAAGAGCGCGUAGGCGGCCCUGUAAGUCCGCUGUGAAAGUCAAGGGCUCAACCCUUGAAUGCCGGUGGAUACUGCAGGGCUAGAGUCCGGAAGAGGCGAGUGGAAUUCCUGGUGUAGCGGUGAAAUGCGCAGAUAUCAGGAGGAACACCGGAGGCGAAGGCGGAUCACUGGACUGCCACUGACGCUGAGGCGCGAAAGCUAGGGGAGCAAACAGG
rnacentral:rRNA from 1 species